rnacentral:rRNA from 1 species
GAUGAGCGCUGGCGGCGUGCCUAAUACAUGCAAGUCGAGCGAACAGACGAGGAGCUUGCUCCUCUGACGUUAGCGGCGGACGGGUGAGUAACACGUGGAUAACCUACCUAUAAGACUGGGAUAACUUCGGGAAACCGGAGCUAAUACCGGAUAAUAUAUUGAACCGCAUGGUUCAAUAGUGAAAGACGGUUUUGCUGUCACUUAUAGAUGGAUCCGCGCCGCAUUAGCUAGUUGGUAAGGUAACGGCUUACCAAGGCAACGAUGCGUAGCCGACCUGAGAGGGUGAUCGGCCACACUGGAACUGAGACACGGUCCAGACUCCUACGGGAGGCAGCAGUAGGGAAUCUUCCGCAAUGGGCGAAAGCCUGACGGAGCAACGCCGCGUGAGUGAUGAAGGUCUUCGGAUCGUAAAACUCUGUUAUUAGGGAAGAACAAAUGUGUAAGUAACUAUGCACGUCUUGACGGUACCUAAUCAGAAAGCCACGGCUAACUGCGUG